rnacentral:lncRNA from 1 species
AUGCUGGGGGCCCUGCACCCGCCCCCGCACGCCCUGCCCCGGGCGCCCCCAGCCCCCCAGGCGGCCGGGCGCAGCCCCCAGGCCGGCUACCGCCUGGACUUUGGGGACCCCCAGGAGUGGCUGCUGGAGUCCGAGGAGGAGGACCAGGAGUACGGCCCCCUGCCGCCCCUCGUCUCCCUGCGGGAGGACCAGCUCCUGGUGGCCGUGGCCUCGCCCAGGGCCGGAAGGAACAGGAGCCGGGGCGGGCGAGGCGGCGGCUACCGGCUCAUCCCGCGGCCGCACAAGCAGCAGGACCCGGUGGCCCCGGAGAGGGACUGGGCGGCCGAGGAGGAGGAUGGGGAGGACGAAGAGGCGUCCGAAGAGGGGGAGCGGACCGCGCUCAGCCGGGAGGAGGCGCCCAGUGCCCGCAGCCCCCGGCACAGGAGGGGCUCGCGGCAUCCGCUGUGCCUGCAGCAGCCACCGCUCGCGGACAGCCUGCCCACCGCCAGCGUCGUCCUCUGCUUCCACGACGAGGCCUGGGCCACCCUCCUGAGGACCGUGCACAGCAUCCUGGAUACGGCGCCCAGGGCCUUCCUGAAGGAGAUCGUCCUGGUGGACGACCUCAGCCAGCAAGGACAACUCAAGAUGGCUCUCAGCGAGCACGUGGCCCGGUUGGAGGGUGUGAAGUUGCUCAGGAGCACCAGGAGGCUGGGCGCCAGUGGAGCCCGGAUGCUGGGGGCCGCCAGGGCCACCGGGGACGUGCUGGUCUUCAUGGAUGCCCACUGCGAGUGCCAGCCGGGCUGGCUGGAGCCCCUCCUGGCCAGAAUAGCUGGUGACAGGAGCAGGGUGGUGUCUCCAGUCCUAGACGUGAUUGACUGGAAGACUUUGCAGUAUUACCCCUCCGAGGACCAGCAGCGGGGAGUGUUGGACUGGAAGCUGGAUUUCCGCUGGGAGCCUUUGCCUGAGCGCGAGAGGAGGGCCCUCGCCUCCCCUGUCAGUCCCUUCAGGAGCCCCGUGGUGCCUGGUGGGGUGGUGGCCGUGGACCGACAUUACUUCCAGAACACCGGAGCGUAUGACCCUCUCCUGUCACUGCAGGGAGGUGGAAACCUCGAGCUGUCUCUCAAGACCUGGCUUUGUGGAGGCUCCGUGGAAAUCCUGCCCUGCUCCCGGGUGGGGCACCUCUACCGAAAUGAAGAUGCCCACUCCCAGCUUGAGCGGGAGGCCGCCCUGCAGAACAAGAUCCGCAUCGCUGAGACCUGGCUGGACUCCUUCAAAGAAACCUUCUACAAGCACAGUCCAGAGGCCUUGUCCCUGAGCAAGGCUGGGAAGCCGGACUGCACGGAGCGCCAACAGCUGCAGAGAAGGCUGGGCUGCAGGACCUUCCACUGGUUUCUGGCCAACGUCUACCCCGAGCUGUACCCACUGGAACGCAGGCCCAGGUUCUCCGGAAAGCUCCACAACACUGGACUGGGCUUCUGCGCAGACUGCGCGGCGGAAGAGGCGGCCCCAGGCUGUGCCGUGAUGCUGGCCCCCUGCAGGGACGGUGAGCCGCAGCAGCGCCUGGAGCACACGGGCCGGAGCACCAUCCGCUACGGCGGCCCGGGGCACCUGUGCUUUGAUGUCAGGCGAGAGCAGGUGAUUCUCCAGAACUGCACCGAGGGGGGCUCUGCCAUCCACCAGCAACACUGGGACCACCAGGAGGUGAGUGACCCACCCAGGAGCUCACGGGGCCUCUGGUGGGCACGUGUCUGGCUCUUCCGAGAGGUCAAGUGUUACCGCACUAGCCUGUGUCCCUGGGCUGAACUUAGUGAUUUGGCACUAAGGUCUCGGAGGGCGGUGAAGCCGACCUUGCAGCCGAGUUAUCUGCCGGCAUCCAGAAAGGUGCUAAUUUCCCAGGUCUCUGUGUCGCUCAGUCUUCAUGCACUGGAAAGAGGAAACCCCCUAGCUGUAAAGUUUAUCAGCUUUAGGCCUCGAGUAGGACUGUGGGGCGCGUUACAGAUGCUGCCAAACCCCAUUGGCGGUGUGCUUUUAGGAGCAGAGGAAAGGCCCACCUCCUGUUCCACAAUCACAUAG